UACGUAGGGCGCAAGCGUUAUCCGGAAUUAUUGGGCGUAAAGAGCUCGUAGGCGGUUUGUCGCGUCUGCCGUGAAAGUCCGGGGCUCAACUCCGGAUCUGCGGUGGGUACGGGCAGACUAGAGUGCAGUAGGGGAGACUGGAAUUCCUGGUGUAGCGGUGAAAUGCGCAGAUAUCAGGAGGAACACCAGUAGCGAAGGCGGUGGUCUGGGCCGGCACUGACGCUGAGGAGCGAAAGCGUGGGGAGCGAACAGG
rnacentral:rRNA from 1 species